rnacentral:rRNA from 1 species
GGAGUUAGCCGGUGCUUCUUCUGUGAGUGAUGUCCUUCCUGCCGGCUAUUAACCCGCAGGCCUUCUUCCUCACUGAAAGUGCUUUACAACCCGAAGGCCUUCUUCACACACGCGGCAUGGCUGGAUCAGGGUUGCCCCCAUUGUCCAAUAUUCCCCACUGCUGCCUCCCGUAGGAGUCUGGGCCGUGUCUCAGUCCCAGUGUGGCUGAUCAUCCUCUCAGACCAGCUACGGAUCGUCGCCUUGGUGAGCCGUUACCUCACCAACCAGCUAAUCCGACAUAGGCUCAUCCGAUAGCGCGAGGCCCGAAGGUCCCCCGCUUUCCCCCGUAGGGCGUAUGCGGUAUUAGCCUGGGUUUCCCCAGGUUAUCCCCCACUACCGGGCAGAUUCCUAUGCAUUACUCACCCGUCCGCCGCUCGCCACCAGGGAGCAAGCUCCCCGUGCUGCCGCUCGACUUGCAUGUGUUAGGCUCGCCGCCACGCGUCAUCUGAGCGAGAUACAACUACUGA